GACGAACGCUGGCGGCGUGCCUAAUACAUGCCAGUAGAACGCUGAAGGAGGAGCUUGCUUCUCUGGAUGAGUUGCGAACGGGUGAGUAACGCGUAGGUAACCUGCCUGGUAGCGGGGGAUAACUAUUGGAAACGAUAGCUAAUACCGCAUAAUAUUGACUAUUGCAUGAUAGUCAGUUGAAAGGUGCAACUGCACCACUACCAGAUGGACCUGCGUUGUAUUAGCUAGUUGGUGGGGUAACGGCUCACCAAGGCGACGAUACAUAGCCGACCUGAGAGGGUGAUCGGCCACACUGGGACUGAGACACGGCCCAGACUCCUACGGGAGGCAGCAGUAGGGAAUCUUCGGCAAUGGACGGAAGUCUGACCGAGCAACGCCGCGUGAGUGAAGAAGGUUUUCGGAUCGUAAAGCUCUGUUGUAAGAGAAGAACGAGUGUGAGAGUGGAAAGCUCACACUGUGACGGUAUCUUACCAGAAAGGGACGGCUAACUACGUG
rnacentral:rRNA from 1 species